rnacentral:rRNA from 1 species
GGAAGUAAAAGUCGUAACAAGGUCUCCGUUGGUGAACCAGCGGAGGGAUCAUUACCGAGUUAUACAACUCCCAAACCCACUGUGAACCUUACCUCAGUUGCCUCGGCGGGAACGCCCCGGCCGCCUGCCCCCGCGCCGGCGCCGGACCCAGGCGCCCGCCGCAGGGACCCCAAACUCUCUUGCAUUACGCCCAGCGGGCGGAAUUUCUUCUCUGAGUUGCACAAGCAAAAACAAAUGAAUCAAAACUUUCAACAACGGAUCUCUUGGUUCUGGCAUCGAUGAAGAACGCAGCGAAAUGCGAUAAGUAAUGUGAAUUGCAGAAUUCAGUGAAUCAUCGAAUCUUUGAACGCACAUUGCGCCCGCCAGCAUUCUGGCGGGCAUGCCUGUUCGAGCGUCAUUUCAACCCUCGAGCCCCCCCGGGGGCCUCGGUGUUGGGGGACGGCACACCAGCCGCCCCCGAAAUGCAGUGGCGACCCCGCCGCAGCCUCCCCUGCGUAGUAGCACACACCUCGCACCGGAGCGCGGAGGCGGUCACGCCGUAAAACGCCCAACUUUCUUAGAGUUGACCUCGGAUCAGGUAGGAAU